UACGAAGGGGGGCUAGCGUUGCUCGGAAUUACUGGGCGUAAAGCGUAUGCAGGCGGAUCGUUAAGUCGGGGGUGAAAUCCCGAGGCUCAACCUCGGAACUGCCUUCGAUACUGGCGACCUUCGAGUCCGUGAGAGGUGAGUGGAACUCCGAGUGUAGAGGUGAAAUUCGUAGAUAUUCGGAAGAACACCAGUGGCGAAGGCGGCUCACUGGCCCGGUACUGACGCUGAGAUACGAAAGCGUGGGGAGCAAACAGG
rnacentral:rRNA from 1 species